CUGAACGAUUGAAAAAAAAACACGAGCAAGUUGGGACGUUCACAAAGAUGAAAAAAGAAAAUGAAACAAAAAGUCUCUACAUUCUUAUAACAUACAUACUUACAUAUUUAGCCUCACUACUUUUUACAUAUAUUUAAGAUUGCUUUUAUUUUUAGGCGAAUGGAUUUGACUCCCACCGAUAUUGGUCAAGAUAUAAGCCACUGGAAAGAGAAACGAAGAUAUCCUUGAGAAGUAAAGUAAUAAAAUCUAAAUCUACAGAAUGGUUCACGGAGAGCGCGCGCUUGACAUCAGCUGAGCCAAGCUCAGUAAAUGACAAUACAAGAAUCAGGUCAGGAACUAAUGGCGCAGCCUCUAAAACAGAUCCGGCCCAUACUUAUAUCUUCUUGUGGUCCACAGCUAUCCCGGAGUUUAAAUAUUGAUGUGUGGACCAUAAAACUGUCAUGUGGUGGUCCAUGCCUACAAACUACUGUAUCCUUGCUUUUACUUCAGGGGCAGGCAGAUGUGCUGAUGGUUCAAUCCACAGAGGAAACAUAUAUAUCUACCCUUUGCAUCAGCUGUUCUCACUGGGCUGGUCGUCUUCAAACAAAUCAAACUUCCAGCUGUUCUCACUGGGCGGUUGUCUGGAAACAAACCAAACUUCCAGGUGAAAAAAAAUCCUCUGAAUUCUAUAUCUACAUUCCAUGGAUCAGUUGUUCUCACUGGGCUGGUCGUCUUCAAACGAAUCAAACUUCCAGAUCAGCUGUUCUCACUGGACUGUUCGCCUUAAAACAAAUCAAACUUCCAGGUGAAAAAUCCUCUAACUGAUCUUUAUUCUAUGGAUCAGCUGUUCUCACUGGGCUGGUCGUUUUCAAACAAAUCAAACUUUCAGCUGGAGUACAUAUAUCGGAGGUAUGAGGAGUAAUCUGUAUCUAGUUCUAGUUGGAUAUACUGAUUAUAUAUUUCUAGCUGGAGUACAUAUAUGGGAGGUAUGAGGAGUAAUCUGUAUCUAGUUCUAGUUGGAUAUACUGAUUAUAUAUCCAUCAACGUAAAGAUAUCCUCUAAAAACAUUAUCAG